AUUGAACGCUGGCGGCAGGCCUAACACAUGCAAGUCGAACGGUAACAGGAAGAAGCUUGCUUCUUUGCUGACGAGUGGCGGACGGGUGAGUAAUGUCUGGGAAACUGCCUGAUGGAGGGGGAUAACUACUGGAAACGGUAGCUAAUACCGCAUAACGUCGCAAGACCAAAGAGGGGGACCUUCGGGCCUCUUGCCAUCGGAUGUGCCCAGAUGGGAUUAGCUAGUAGGUGGGGUAACGGCUCACCUAGGCGACGAUCCCUAGCUGGUCUGAGAGGAUGACCAGCCACACUGGAACUGAGACACGGUCCAGACUCCUACGGGAGGCAGCAGUGGGGAAUAUUGCACAAUGGGCGCAAGCCUGAUGCAGCCAUGCCGCGUGUAUGAAGAAGGCCUUCGGGUUGUAAAGUACUUUCAGCGGGGAGGAAGAGAGUAAAGUUAAUACCUUUACUCAUUGACGUUACCCACAGAAGAAGCACCGGCUAACUCCGUG
rnacentral:rRNA from 1 species